rnacentral:rRNA from 1 species
UACGGAGGGUGCAAGCGUUGUUCGGAAUCACUGGGCGUAAAGCGCGUGUAGGCGGCCUCCUCAGUCUGGUGUGAAAGCCCGGGGCUCAACCCCGGAAGUGCAUUGGAUACUGGGAGGCUGGAGUACCGGAGAGGAGGGUGGAAUUCCUGGUGUAGCGGUGAAAUGCGUAGAUAUCAGGAGGAACACCGGUGGCGAAGGCGGCCCUCUGGACGGAUACUGACGCUGAGGAGCGAAAGCCAGGGGAGCAAACGGG